rnacentral:lncRNA from 1 species
GGAAGGUUCAGCAGAUCCAUCUCCAAUCGUGACACCCGCAGUUUGACUCUUGGUAAAAUACAUGUUUGAGUGAUAUUUGGUGAUUAUGGCUCAUAUAAUAGCAGAUUGGUAAGGAUCUCUUGUCUAACCUAAGACCCACCCCGUUCAUAAACCGUUGACACAAGAAAAUUCUAUAACUUGACCGAAUUUGAAAUUGUUGAAUAAAAACACGUUUUCUGGAUAAAGGAUAAAGAAAAGACUGAUACUUUAGAAAACAACAUGAUAGAUAUUUUAAAAUAAAAUAGGACAUACUACAACAC